GAGCUGUUAAAGAAAGAAUAACAACUUGUAGCAAUUAUCAUUGUCCUUGCAACAUCAUAUCAAAAAUCAAGGAGACAAUCUCAUGUCCUGCCAUAGUGUUCUCUCUUUUUAUUUUCAUGAAACCUCUUGAUGAAGAGCAAAGAGGAAGUAUCGUGCACGUAAGGGACGAGGGCCCUAAACCAUGUUAAAAUAUCUUUUUUGUGUGUGGCAUCAUUUUGAUUUGGUAUUAGAGCCAACGCUCUCAUCCUCAGCUGCUCGUGUUUGACCAACUGUUGUAGUUUUCUUCUUCUUCCUCUGCUGGUCUUAGACUUGCUCUCAUGGCACCAUCAGAUUCGUCUAACCAGCUAAGUAUUCAGCCAACUCUGCAAAUUCCCUCUAAUUGGCAAACUUUUCUAAAUAAUGCCCAUAUUUACUUAUUAUGGGAGACCCAGUGCACUCCCUUUAUGAGGUCUUAUGAUCUAUAUGGCAUGAUGGAUGGUACUAAACCAUAUCCGCUGAAAGUUAUAAAGGGAGGGCUGAAAAAAUUAAUCUUGAAUACGCUAUAUGGAUGUGUCAUGACCAGCUUCUGCUAAGUUCGAUCAUAUCCUCUUUGACAUAAUCAGUCUAUGUUCAAAUCAUUGGUAUGAAAUUUUUUAAAGAGAACCUAUGGGCACAUCCUAGGUCCAAGGUCAUGCAGUUGAAAAAACAACUUCAAAGUCUUAGAAAAGAAAUUAUGGCUAUUGAUGAAUAAUUUUUCAAAGUCAAGAUGCUUGUCGACCAGUUGACUACGGCCUCUAAGCCGCAGAUGAGGAAAACAGAAAUCUCCACAUAGAGGUUUUUCUACCAAGUACCUAGUGUUUAAAACAUCUAGCUCAACUAGACCCAAUGCCAUCACUCUGGCCGAACUCCAUGGGUUGACACAGGAUGCCCAACUCAAAUAUUAAGAAGCCAGCACGGAUGCUAUACCUUCUCCGGCUGCCAAUAUUAGUAUAAUUCAGAAAACAAGGUAGCAUAUUUUAUUUGCCAACAGAAUUCUUUCUGGGGUAGAGGUUGUGGCCAUGGCAUAAAUAACGGGGGACGUGGAAACUAAUCAAAUAAACUGCGGGUAGUUUGUCAAUUCUAUGACAACCAGCCCACUCGCCAAAGGCAUGCUUUAAAAAAAGGAUUUCCUGAAGUUCAAACAAUAGCAACAAUGAAGCUAGCACCUAUCAUGUUUCAGCUCUACACGUGCUUGAUAGAAAAUUGGUUCUUGAACACAGAUGCUAGCCAUCAAUUUGGAUUCUUUAAGUGUAUUUGGAUUCUUUAAGUGUCCACGGUUAGGGUUGGGCAUCUAGCCGGGCCAAGCCUAUAAAAAUGUUCAAAUUUAAGCCCAAGCAAUGUAUCAGGUUAGCCCCAUUAAUCAGACCAGGCAGGGCCUUGGGCUUGAGCUUAUGCCCUAGGCCCCGCCCGGCCCGAUUAUUAAUGGGCCGGGCUGGUUUCUCUCUCUCCAUUAUUUUGUGUAUAUGAACGACCAUCCCAACACAGAUGAGGCCGAGCGAGGUUGGGAAGGGAGAAAGGAAAGGGUGUUUAGGGUUGCGUAAGGAAGCGUGAGGCUCGGAUUUACUGGGUAAGAGAUUGAGAGGAGGGUUGAGAUGGCCAUGUCCAGCUGCUGUGCCAGGUUCCUCGGAGGAAAUUUUGCGCCUUCAUGUCUUCUUCCUCCUCAUCCUCCUCCUUCGACUGUCGAUCUGAGCCUGAACUACUGUCCAGCUCAUCCUCCUUCCAGAGGACUCAAAGAAAGCAAAUCAGCUCCUCUUUGUCAUCAUCACCGCUCUUGAUGGCAGCAGGGAUGUCGUUGUCCUUCAUCUUCAGAUUCCCUCCCAACUUUGUGAGGCAGCUGAGCGUCAGGUCUAGGCGCAACUGCAGCAACAUCGGCACUGGUGGUGAUGGCAAGGAAGUAGUCGGCAGUCACAGAGCCGAUGGGCGACGGGGAGGACAAGCCGAUGGGCGACGGGAGGACAAGCCGAUGGGCAACGGGAGGACCGGAGGAGGCGUUCGGCGACACAGGGAGAAUGAAAAGGAGACCUUGGAGGAGCUUGUGAUAGACUCUUGAGGAGCAUCUCCAACUUAUUCAAGUCACCAUCAAAGAGCUAAGGAGCCCAGCAGGCGGUUAGGUCAGGAGAGAUUGUUGGAGUGAAAUAGAUACAGAAGCGGCACCAGAAUCAUUGACUGCAAGAGCUAAAGUUCUUUGUUUUCCUUCAUUGAUUUGCC